rnacentral:lncRNA from 1 species
GGGGAGGGCGCAGAGGACAAGGAGAAGUCAGCUUACCCAAAGGGCCAGCAUCUGCAGCCUUGGCUGCCACCUUGGGGAGGCUCUUCUCUUCAAGGAGGAGCUCACACAGGGGGCUAAGCAGCUGGUUCACGUUGCUCAGCUGCUGUUCUUCAUUCCACUGUGGAGAGGUCAGUGGCCCGAGGGACUCUGUGGGCUCAGGGAGCUGCUGUAAUUCCUGAACCCCGGGGGACAGAGGCAGUGAGCGAUGUGCAAGGCGAGGAAGCAAAGCCCUAGCCCGCGGCCCUGAUAUCUGGUACCUGGAAGAAGAUGCAGUCAUCCGCCUGUGCCAGGAGAUCCUGGACACUCUGAUCAUACUGAGACAGGGCCCUUAGGUGGUCAGUCAGCCGCUGUUUCUCAUUCAGAACUUGGCCCAGCGCCUGCUUCUUGGCUACCUCUAUAUCACUCAGUGUUGAGGCCUGCUGCUUCUCCAGCGCCUGAAGCAGGCUACUGAAUCUCCUGGAGACCACCGAGGCCAGGGUGCAGGCUGAACUCUGCAUGGACACAGGAGGAACCUCAGGGUGGCCAGUCUCCACACUAUGGCAUGGCAGGCCAAGCCCUCAAUCACCCACUUGGCUUGAACACGGGGACAUGGAGAGCCAGUUAGGACCCUUGGAGCCUCUUCCCUAAUGGGGCCUGGCUUCUUGGUCAACGUCCCACUCUGUGGUGCUGGGAGGGACUUUCGAGGCAGCUCACAUCUGUUGUCUGCAGUCCAGGGACCAGAUGGUGAGGCCGGACCCGAGCACAUGGUAAAGUACCUCAAUCCGACUGCGUUGCUCCUGCAGCUCCUGAAGCUGGGUCUCUGCCUGGGCAACCUGCUGCUGGGUAACCAGUACCCUCGCUCUCAGCUGGUCCUGUGGCACCCAUCCAGAGGGCAAGCAACAAAAGACGAUUAGGAUUGGUUAUAACCUUCAAGCCACCAUCACCAAUACAGGAGCUGGGUAGUCUCCUCAUGGCCCUGAUGGUAACUGCCUUGUAAAAUCCCAGAACUAGGUCAGAGUCCCAGGGAGGCCUGGAUAGGGUCCUUUCUCUACCUGGAGCAGGAUACUAUAUGAGGAAUGUGGAAGUCUUAGGUUGAAGACCCCACUUCUGGUCCCACUCCUGCGUCUUGCAGGUUGAGUGACCUGGGCAGAACUCCUACCUUCUCCAGUCCAAACCUCAUCCCUAACUCAGGCACCAAAGGAAAACGGUAACGCUGGCUUACAGAACCGGGGGCAGAAAGGGAGACUGGUCAUAGUUGUCUGACCAGUGAUCAGUUCAGCUCCUAAGAGCCCAAAGGGAAGACAUUAUUAUCAUUUGGUUGAGUUCUGUUUCCCCUGGAGACCAAAAUGUGCUGUUAUAGGAGCUGGGAACACCAUUCAGGUGCUUGGAGUCGAUGCUUGACCUGGCUAAGUCUCACUACCUGUUCUUACUCCUCCCAACACCAUUUUGAGUUGGGGCCCCUUCUCAUUGUUGCUUUGAGACAGGGUCUCACUGUGUAGUCCUGGCUGGCCGGGAACUUUCCACAUAGACCAACCUGAUCUUGAACUUACAGAGAUCCGCCUACUUCUGCCUCUAUAGUGAUGGAAUUAAAGGCAUGCAUCACC